rnacentral:rRNA from 1 species
GACAGAGGGUGCAAGCGUUAUCCGGAAUGAUUGGGCGUAAAGCGUCUGUAGGUGGCUUUUCAAGUCCGCCGUCAAAUCCCAGGGCUCAACCCUGGACAGGCGGUGGAAACUUUCUGGCUAGAGUCCGGAAGAGGAGAAUGGAAUUCCUGGUGUAGCGGUGAAAUGCGCAGAUAUCAGGAAGAACACCCGUGGCGAAGGCGGUUCUCUGGGACGGUACUGACGCUGAGACGCGAAAGCGUGGAGAGCGAACAGG